rnacentral:rRNA from 2 species
UCGAACGAUGAAGCCUAGCUUGCUAGGUGAAUUAGUGGCGGACGGGUGAGUAAUAUAUCGGAACGUGUCCAUUAAUGGGGGAUAACUAGUCGAAAGGCUGGCUAAUACCGCAUACGCCCUGAGGGGGAAAGCUAGGGAUUCUUCGGAACCUGGCGUUAAUGGAGCGGCCGAUACCUGAUUAGCUAGUUGGUGGGGUAAAGGCCUACCAAGGCAACGAUCAGUAGCUGGUCUGAGAGGACGACCAGCCACACUGGGACUGAGACACGGCCCAGACUCC